GUAGGACAAGAGAUUUCUGUAUAGGAUGGAGGGACGGUGUGGGUAGGCAUCAGAGCCACACAUUUGCAAGGGGCCAGGCUUCAGGGAAAUGGCGGAGGCCUGUGUGAUGUCUUGCUGCCCGAGCCGGAGCAGGCAGCCUCAGCCGGGGCGAUUCAAAAGGUGAUUCUGGCACUUGAAUACUAUCUGGAAGCGACUUGUCAUGCCUGCUUUGUGGAAUCAGUGUCCAAACGAAAUGCAAAAAAAUGCAGACUGUUGCAGCACAUAGUGGUUAUCAGUACUCCAGGGAGAACAAGAGGUGUUAAAGAAAAGAUAUCUUUGACCCCACCCAGGCCACCACGCUGCAUUUAAUUGUCAGGUCUUCUCUUGGCUGUGACACUUGGUCAGACUUUCUUUGUUCAUGAUGACCGUGGCAGUUUUGAGGAGCAUCAAUCCUGUUUUUUGUGGAAUGCCUCAGUAUUGACAUUUGUCUGAGGUUUUUCUGAAGGUUAGACUGGUGUUCGGGCUUUUUUGGGAGGAGGACCACAGGGGUAAAGUGCCACUUGCUCGUUAUAUCAAGGUUUGGACUGAUGAUGUUGACCUUGACCACCUGACUGAAGUAGUAGUUAAGAGGCGUCUCCACUGUGAAGUUCCCCUUUUCCCUCCGGUUCCACACCACAGUCUUUGGGAAGAAGUCUCUACGUAUGACCAACACUUAAAGUAAAUCUCUUAAAAAAUUUUUUCCAAAGUGGAUCAAGGUGCUUGUUUUGGAUGAAGCAAAUAAAUAUGUGGAGCCAAGGAAUUAAGGCCCAAGUCUCCAAGAUUUACCAGAAAUUAAUCCAGGUUGUGUUGCUUUCUGCCUGAUUCCAGUCCAUCUGCUGCUAGUCAUCCAUCCAUGAGAUCCCUUCCAAACUCUGGUGAAGAGGGAAGAAUCGGCCCUCGAAAGAGGUUGAUUUUGAGAAGAUUUUAAGUCGUCUUCGUCAGCUCAAGCUAUGGGGUGAGGAGGAUAAAGACCACACUCCACAGUGAGCCGUAUGCUGUCUAUGAAGUUCAUUACCAUUUUGUGGCCCAGAAGAGUGUGCAGCAGUUGAUUUUGAAUCAGGAUUCAUGUUGCUCAGAUCUUAUGCUUUCUUGGUGAUUCCUCCAUAACCGGGGUUUUCUCGGCAUUUUCUGGCAGCAGUUUGUAUUGACUAUGACGUAGGUAUAGUGGCUUUAUCAUUGAAUAAAUUGAAUGAUGUCUUGCUACCAAUGUAAAAAUUAUUUUGUUUAAAAAAUAAAAUAGUUGGAAAGAACAGGAGACAAGGAGGUGCCCAGAAAUGGCACUGGCCUGAGGACCUAGCCUCACAGGGGAGACAGCGUGAAGUUUGGAUCCAGAGUCGGUAGUUUUGUAUUUGAUUUCCUCUUGUCCUGGUUCUUCAAUAUUUUAAGUUGCUCCAGCCAAGACAUCUUUGAUUUGUUGUAUUAUGUGUGUUGGGGGCAAACGUAUUCAGUCAUUUGUGUUAUAGUAUGUGAGGUGAUCAGAAAACAGUGAUACAUAUGGGUUACCACCGAAAAUUUGGGAGGUCCCACCCCCCUUACACUGGAAAAGAGGUAAGCCCAGGGUCGAGUCUGUGCAAUAGAAUGCCCUGCAGUGACGGAGACACUGUCUGUCGUGCUGCCCGGCACCGCAGUGACAGGCCACACGUGGCUGCUGGAACGUGGUUGGGGCGACUGAGGCCUGAAUCUUCUAUUUCAUUUCAUUUUAAUUUAAACUCAAAUAGCCACAUGUGGCUAGUGACUGUUGUUGUGGACACCGCAGUUUAAAUAACAGUGAACCUUCCAGAGCUUCCACUUGCAGUUUACAAUGCCACGUGUGCAGGAAAAUGGACCACACAGCUGUCCUUUGGGUUUUGUCCCCGGUGCUGACGUCCGUCCCAGGCUGCCAUCUGCGCUUGGCCCACUUCAGCAUGGGAUUUCAUUUCCUUGCUCAUGAUGCCUGGUAGAAUCCGCCUUACAGCCGGUGAAACGGUGGAAAGAGAUAGAGGGAGAAACAGAGACUGGGGGAGGGGAAAGAGAGAGAGAGGGGGAAUGGGGAGAGAAAAGGAUAAAACAGCAACCAGUGAGCACAUCUUAAAGGGAAAUUCAUCUAGAUGAACUUAUGUGCUGAUCUCUCCCCGCUCCCCACAGCCCCCACUUCCUGGAAAAGCGUUCCUUCGGUUAUUAGAAAGCAAAACAUAAAUUGUCUUUAAAUCUGUGAUUGCCUUUUCUUUUCUUUCCUUUUUCUCUCCAGUUUCAUCAUGUAUUUCAGUCCUUCCAUUCUUUCUGUAGGUCCCAGGGCCUACUACUCAUAUUAUUUGGCCUUAGUACAAAAUAUACA